rnacentral:rRNA from 1 species
AGGGUUCGAUUCUGGCUCAGGAUGAACGCUAGCUACAGGCUUAACACAUGCAAGUCGAGGGGAAACGAUAUAGAAAGCUUGCUUCUUUAGGCGUCGACCGGCGAAUGGGUGAGUAACGCGUAUCCAACCUGCCCCUGAGUAAGGGAUAGCCCAUCGAAAGAUGGAUUAAUACCUUAUGGUCUCCUUUGCAGACAUCUAAUUAGGAGUAAAGAUUUAUCGCUGAGGGAUGGGGAUGCGUCUGAUUAGCUUGUUGGCGGGGUAACGGCCCACCAAGGCAACGAUCAGUAGGGGUUCUGAGAGGAAGGUCCCCCACAUUGGUACUGAGACACGGACCAAACUCCUACGGGAGGCAGCAGUGAGGAAUAUUGGUCAAUGGACGGAAGUCUGAACCAGCCAAGUAAGCGUGCAGGAAGACUGCCCUAUGGGUUGUAAACUGCUUUUAUACGGGGAUAAAGUCAGGGUCGUGACCCUGUUUGCAGGUACCGUAUGAAUAAGGACCGGCUAAUUCCGUGCCAGCCGCCGC